CAAGGCUUGACAUGCACGGGUAAGUUCCAGAGAUGGUUCCCCCGUAAGGUCCGUGCACAGGUGGUGCAUGGUUGUCGUCAGCUCGCGUCGUGAGAUGUUGGGUUAAGUCCCGCAACGAGCGCAACCCUUGUCUCAUGUUGCCAGCAAUUCGGUUGGGGACUCAUGGGAGACUGCCGGGGUCAACUCGGAGGAAGGUGGGGAUGACGUCAAGUCAUCAUGCCCCUUAUGUCCAGGGCUUCACACAUGCUACAAUGGCCGGUACAGAGGGCUGCGAGACCGCAAGGUGGAGCGAAUCUCUUAAAGCCGGUCUCAGUUCGGAUUGGGGUCUGCAACUCGACCCCAUGAAGUCGGAGUCGCUAGUAAUCGCAGAUCAGCAACGCUGCGGUGAAUACGUUCCCGGGCC
rnacentral:rRNA from 1 species